rnacentral:tRNA from 1 species
AACCACGUGGCCUAAUGGACAAGGUUCUGACUUCGGACAAGGUUCUGACUUCGGAUCAGAAGAUUGAGGGUUAAAGUCCCUUCGUGGUUG